UACGUAGGUGGCAAGCGUGGUCCGGGUUUACUGGGCGUAAAGAGCGCGCAGGCGGUUGUGCAAGUCGCGUGUGAAAGCCCCCGGCUCAACUGGGGAGGGUCACGCGAUACUGUUCGACUUGAAGGCAGGAGAGGGAAGUGGAAUUCCCGGUGUAGUGGUGAAAUGCGUAGAUAUCGGGAGGAACACCAGUGGCGAAGGCGACUUCCUGGCCUGUUCUUGACGCUGAGGCGCGAAAGCUAGGGUAGCAAACGGG
rnacentral:rRNA from 1 species